rnacentral:rRNA from 1 species
GUCUCAGCCGCCGCGGUAAUACGGGGGGGGCGAGCGUUGUUCGGAAUUACUGGGCGUAAAGAGCGAGCAGGUGGUCCGUUAAGUCAAUUGUGAAAGCUCAAGGCUCAACCUUGAAAUUGCUUUUGAUACUGAUGGACUAGAGUUAGGGAGAGGAUAGUGGAAUUCUAAGUGUAGAAGUGAAAUUCGUAGAUAUUUAGAGGAACACCGAUAGCGAAGGCAACUAUCUGGCCCUUUACUGACACUCAGAAGCGAAAGCUUGGGUAGCAAACAGGAUUAGAUACCCUGGUAGUCCAUGCUGUAAACGAUGAGUGCUAGAUGUUAGAAGUUUUACUUUUAGUAUCGAAGCUAACGCGUUAAGCACUCCGCCUGGGGAGUACGGCCGCAAGGCUAAAACUCAAAUGAAUUGACGGGGACCCGCACAAGCAGUGGAGCAUGUGGUUUAAUUCGACGCUACGCGAAGAACCUUACCAGCUCUUGACAUGCUAAGUUUUGAAUUUAAGAGAUUAAAUUCUUCAGUUCGGCUGGGCUUAGUACAGGUGCUG